rnacentral:misc_RNA from 1 species
UCCCCGUUAACCGGGGCAGUCCCUCUAGAGUUCCCGGCAUGAUCCGCUGGCAACUAGGGGCGAGGGUUGCGCUCGUUGCGGGACUUAACCCAACAUCUCACGACACGAGCUGACGACAGCCAUGCAGCACCUGUGUCGGCUCCUCUUGCGAGGUCGGUCCCCUUUCAGGGCCUGUCACCUGGUGUUCGAGCCUGGGUAAGGUUCUUCGCGUUGCAUCGAAUUAAUCCACAUGCUCCACCGCUUGUGCGGGCCCCCGUCAAUUCCUUUGAGUUUCACCCUUGCGAGCGUACUCCCCAGGUGGAGUGCUUAACGCGUUAGCUUAGACACUGCCGCUAAAGCGCGGCAGCAUCGAGCACUCAUCGUUUACGGCGUGGACUAC